UACGAAGGGGACUAGCGUUGUUCGGAUUCACUGGGCGUAAAGGGUGCGUAGGCGGUCGGGUAAGUCUGAUGUGAAAUCUCACAGCUUAACUGUGAAACUGCAUUGGAUACUAUCCGGCUCGAGGAAUGGAGGGGAGACUGGAAUACUUGGUGUAGCAGUGAAAUGCGUAGAUAUCAAGUGGAACACCAGUGGCGAAGGCGAGUCUCUGGACAUUUCCUGACGCUGAGGCACGAAAGCCAGGGGAGCAAACGGG
rnacentral:rRNA from 1 species